rnacentral:rRNA from 1 species
UACAGAGGAUGCAAGCGUUAUCCGGAAUGAUUGGGCGUAAAGCGUCCGCAGGUGGUUAUGUAAGUCUGCUGUUAAAGCGUUAGGCUCAACCUAAUAAGGGCAGUGGAAACUAUGAGACUAGAGUAUGUUAGGGGUAGAGGGAAUUCCCAGUGUAGCGGUGAAAUGCGUAGAUAUCGGGAGGAACACCUGUGGCGAAAGCGGCGCACUGGACCACAACUGACGCUGAGGCGCGAAAGCUAGGGGAGCAAACAGG